rnacentral:rRNA from 1 species
ACGCUGGCGGCGUGCCUAAUACAUGCAAGUAGAACGCUGAAGGAGGAGCUUGCUCUUCUGGAUGAGUUGCGAACGGGUGAGUAACGCGUAGGUAACCUGCCUGGUAGCGGGGGAUAACUAUUGGAAACGAUAGCUAAUACCGCAUAACAGUAGAUGUUGCAUGACAUUUGCUUAAAAGGUGCAAUUGCAUCACUACCAGAUGGACCUGCGUUGUAUUAGCUAGUUGGUGGGGUAACGGCUCACCAAGGCGACGAUACAUAGCCGACCUGAGAGGGUGAUCGGCCACACUGGGACUGAGACACGGCCCAGACUCCUACGGGAGGCAGCAGUAGGGAAUCUUCGGCAAUGGACGGAAGUCUGACCGAGCAACGCCGCGUGAGUGAAGAAGGUUUUCGGAUCGUAAAGCUCUGUUGUAAGAGAAGAACGAGUGUGAGAGUGGAAAGUUCACGCUGUGACGGUAUCUUACCAGAAAGGGACGGCUAACUACGUGCCAGCAGCCGCGGUAAUACGUAGGUCCCGAGCGUUGUCCGGAUUUAUUGGGCGUAAAGCGAGCGCAGGCGGUUAGAUAAGUCUGAAGUUAAAGGCUGUGGCUUAACCAUAGUACGCUUUGGAAACUGUUUAACUUGAGUGCAAGAGGGGAGAGUGGAAUUCCAUGUGUAGCGGUGAAAUGCGUAGAUAUAUGGAGGAACACCGGUGGCGAAAGCGGCUCUCUGGCUUGUAACUGACGCUGAGGCUCGAAAGCGUGGGGAGCAAACAGGAUUAGAUACCCUGGUAGUCCACGCCGUAAACGAUGAGUGCUAGGUGUUAGACCCUUUCCGGGGUUUGGUGCCGCAGCUAACGCAUUAAGCACUCCGCCUGGGGAGUACGACCGCAAGGUUGAAACUCAAAGGAAUUGACGGGGGCCCGCACAAGCGGUGGAGCAUGUGGUUU